CACGCCCGAGAGUCGGGAGCCGGCGGCUGCGCUGCGGCGAGGAGCGACUGUGGCGAGAGCCUUGCGGCUGGCUGGGUCCCURGACCCCACUAGCCGGCUCUGCGGCGGCCGCCCGUCAAUCGACGUUCGAGACCCUGCGGACGGCGUCUCAGAUAUCUGCUUGGCAGAUUAAUCAAAGGCAAGAAAGGCUAAUCUAUGUUCUGAGAACUUCCCCCAGCAAGACCCCUGUUACAGACUGUAGGCCAAGUUGACCGUGCUGCCAUAUAUCCCUCCACCCAGAUAUUAUUCUAGGGUCCACCAGUGUGAAGAUGACCAGUGCCUUCCUAGCAUGACGACCUUGGACCACGUAAUUGCUACGCAUCAGUCAGAGUGGGUCUCCUUCAAUGAAGAGCCACUUUUUCCUGUCCCUUCUGAGGGGGGCACUGAAGAACACCUCCCAGUACUGUCAUCUUCUUCAGACCAGUCUGAGACUUCCUCUGGGGAGAACCAUGUGGUGGAUGGAGCCUCCCAGGACCUUUCCCAYUCAGAGCAGGAUGAUUCCUCUGAAAAGAUGGGUCUCAUCUCUGAAGUGGCCUCUCCUCCCGAGAGCCCCGAGCAGCCCUCACUUGACCUGGCCUCAGCCAUCAGCAACUGGGUUCAAUUUGAAGAUGACACACCCUGGGCCAGCACCUCACCAUCUCCCAAAGAAACAGGACCCUCUGAAAAGAUGGGUCUCAUCUCUGAAGUGGCCUCUCCUCCCGAGAGCCCCGAGCAGCCCUCACUUGACCUGGCCUCAGCCAUCAGCAACUGGGUUCAAUUUGAAGACGACACACCCUGGGCCAGCACCUCACCAUCUCCUAAAGAAACAGCCCUCCCAUUGACCAUGCCCUGCUGGACAUGUCCUUCUUUUGACUCCUUGAGGAGAUGCCCUCUGACCUCCGAGAGCAGCUGGACAACCCACUCUGAAGACACUAGCAGUCCUAGCAUUGGCCCUUCGCACACAGACCUGCAACUUGUCAAUGCUGAGGAGCAGACAAGUGGCAGAGCUUCUGGGGCUGACUCAACUGACGAGAACACUGAGUGGCAGCCAGGCAGGCAGACGGCAAGGAGCCCUGUUCAAGCAUGCAAGGAGCACACCUCCACCAGUACCCACGUCUUGGACCCCUGGCCACCACCCCACGCCAGAAGGAGCCCCGGAGAGGAAUCUCCAGGGUCCUCUGCUCCCAAUGAUAAUUCUUCCUUACUUCAGGAAGAUGAGGAGGUAGAGAUGGAGGCCAUCAGUUGGCAAACCAGCAGUCCAGCUAUGAACGGGCACCCUACCCCUCCAGUGACCUCUGCUCGUUUCCCCAGCUGGGUCACUUUUGAUGACAAUGAAAUUAGCCUCCCUUCUCUACCAGUCACCUCUCCUCUGAAGCCAGAUAUACCAUCUAUUACAUCUGUGGGCCCAGAUGCACCUUUUAACUCCACUGGGUCAGUUAAGAGGGAUCGUCCCAAGAGCACUUUGAUGAACUUUUCCAAACUUCAGAAGUUAGACAUUUCCUCCUUAAACCAUCCACCUUUCAUACCUGAGGCACCACCUUGGAGGGCAACCAAUCCUUUCUUGAAUGAGACUUUACAGGAUAUACAGCCCUCUCCUAUCAACCCUUUCAGUGCUUUCUUUGAGGAACAGGAGAGGCAUUCCCAAAACAGUUCCAUUUCCAGUACCACAGGCAAAAGCCAAAGAGAUUCACUCAUCGUCAUCUACCAGGAUGCCAUCAGUUUUGAUGAUUCAAGCAAAAGUCAAUCACACUCUGAUGCUGUUGAAAAACUUAAACAGCUCCACAUAGAUGAUCCUGAUCAUUUUGGCAGCACAACACUACCUGAUGAUGACCCAGUAGCCUGGAUUGAGCUAGAUGCUCACCCACCUGGGCCAGCUCUGUCCCAGCCCAGGGAUGGGUGGCCAAUGAUGCUGAGGAUCCCGGAGAAGAAAAAUAUCAUGUCCUCCAGGCACUGGGGACCAAUCUACAUCAAACUAACAGAGAGUGGUUACCUGCAGCUCUACUAUGAGCAGGGCCUAGAAAAACCAUUCCGUGAGUUCAAGUUGGAGAUGUACCAUGAGGUUUCCGAACCCCGGCUUCAAAACUAUGAUGAGAAUGGUAGGAUCCACAGCCUACGUAUUGACCGAGUCAGCUACAAGGAAAAGAAGAAAUACCAACCCAAACCUGCUGUGGCUCACACAGCAGAGAGGGAACAAGUGAUUAAGCUGGGUACCACCAGUUAUGAUGAUUUCCUGAGCUUCAUCCGUGCGGUUCAGGACCGUCUCAUGGAUCUGCCGGUUUUAUCAAUGGACCUGAGCACAGUUGGUCUGAACUACCUCGAAGAGGAGAUCACAGUGGAUGUCAAAGACGAAUUCUCUGGCAUUGUGAGCAAAGGAGACAACCAGAUUCUCCAGCAACACGUCUUAACACGAAUCCACAUUUUGAGUUUUCUCUCUGGGCUUGCGGAGUGCCGCUUGGGCCUCAAUGACGUCCUUGUGAAAGGAAAUGAAAUCGUUUCCCGGCAGGACAUCAUGCCCACCACGACCACAAAGUGGAUUAAGCUCCAUGAAUGCCGUUUUCAUGGGUGUGUGGAUGAGGAUGUGUUCAGUAGCUCUCGGGUUAUUCUCUUCAACCCUUUGGAUGCGUGCCGGUUUGAGCUCAUGCGGUUCAGGACAGUGUUUGCAGAGAAGUCCUUGCCUUUCACGCUCAGGACCGCAGCCAGUAUCAACGGGGCAGAGGUGGAGGUGCAAAGCUGGCUGAGGAUGUCAUCCGGUUUCUCCUCUAACCGUGACCCUCUCACCCAGGUUCCCUGUGAGAAUGUAAUGGUGCGUUACCCAGUGCCCAGUGAGUGGGUGAAAAACUUCCGCAGGGAAAGUGUCCUUGGGGAAAAGUCUCUGAAAGCCAAAGUGAAUCGGGGGGCAAGUUUUGGCUCAACUAGUGUCUCUGGUUCUGAGCCCGUCAUGAGAGUAACACUGGGAACUGCCAAGUAUGAGCAUGCCUUCAACGCCAUCGUGUGGAGGAUAAACCGGCUGCCUGACAAAAACUCAGCUUCUGGUCACCCACACUGUUUCUUUUGCCACCUUGAACUUGGUUCUGACCGGGAAGUGCCUUCCAGAUUUGCCAGUCAUGUGGAUGUUGAGUUCAACAUGCCCACAACUUCUGCCUCCAAAGCCGCUGUGAGAUCCAUCUCCGUGGAAGAUAAGACUGAUGUCAGGAAGUGGGUCAAUUAUUCCGCACAUUACAGCUACAAGGUGGAAAUUGAACAAAAAAAGAGUUUGAAGCCAGACUUUGAAGGAGAUGAAGUAGAAAAUCCCAAGGAGUGUGGGAUACAGUGACAAAGCCUUCAGUGAGGAACCUGAUCCAAGAGUCAUGACAGGGUGUCUUCCUGAAUAGCUGAGGUUUAAGUCAAUACCUGCUGUGGCCACUCCAUGCUGGGAACAGUCCAUCAGAUCUUCUCAUUUACAGUCACCUGUAUUUUAGCAGGAACCCUGAGGUGGCUGCUGUGGAGAGAGGCUUGUUGAGUCUGACCAUACCUGAAGCACACGGUUCAUCUGACUUUUGGAGCUUACUGUCCGGGAAGAUGGAAACACAGGAAACCCUGCAAUUAUCUAUUUUUUAGUUGCCUUUAAAACACCAAAGAGGGUGGUGAAGACUACUGGGAAUGCUGCUCUGGAAGCUCCAUGGGGUACUACCCCUCCAAGCAGUGGUGUGAGUGUGAAGAGAAGCAGACAGUUCUCCAAAAUGGACAUUAGGAUCCCGGUAUGACUUCAAGCAGAUGUAGCUCGAAUCCUCCAAGGUACUGAGGAUGUCGGGAUAAUCCUUGACUUAUAACCUACAUGACCUUUAUACAAAAACUGCAGGACUUGAGGGAGGAAAGUGUACUCAGUCAACAGUCUGGGACUAUUUGUAAGUUACAGUAAAACCAGAGAGAAGGGGAUAGUCCCCUGACACACACCUCCUUUCUCUCAGUAACAUAAAAAUGUACUUUAAAAUUUUUAAAAACAUGUACAAGCUACGAAAUAUAGCUUUUCUCGUGUGGUAUUUGUGGCUUGACUAUGAUUUUAGUUUCUUUUCUGGUUGUGCUUAAUGUCAGAUGUAAUGGAUGAAUUCCAACUGCACUGAGCAAGGAAUUCCAGCAUCCUCUUCCUGUUCACUCCUUUGUUCUGCCUCAGUUCUAGUUGUGGACACUGUCCAGCAACAUGGGGACCUAAGCCUUAAACAUCGUUACUUGCCUCCAUGUGCUGUAGGAUGGCCAACUUAGAGGUAUUCCACUGGUUCCAGGAAAGCAGAUUUGCAUUCAUCUCUCAAUAGGAGCCUGUUGGGCUUAAGGGUUUUAAAGAAUGGGGUGAGAGAAGGGAAUAACGUGAACUCCUCUGACCCUCAGCCAGCGUGCAUUUAAUCUUCAUGUCCACUUGCCAACAGAAUCUGAAAACUUUGCCACCUUCAAGAGAUAAGUCAGAAUUAAUGUUUUAGCCAGAGGUAACAGAGGGGUGCUGCUCUUUGCCCUUCUUUUUUGUAAUGUCCAUAGUGAAUUUCAAUGUGCCAGGGUGGAUGAACCCAGGAUCCAGUGAAUAAUUCAGCCCCUUCAACCUUAUACUUUCCUUCUUCAUCCAUCCUCAAUCAGUGUGACUUCUUGCAUUGUUGUGGUUAAUUUUAUGUAAAACCAGUUUACUUUUAAAAACGUGCCUAUGUAAUAAUAAAGUCUACACACUGGCCAUCUCUGUAGAGGUGAGGUUUUAUUUUAGUUCUGCUUAUUACAAUCUGUAAUGCCUUUUUUUGAGCUUUGAAAAUGAACUGUUAAUAAAAGUUUUUA